ensembl:lncRNA novel transcript, antisense C18orf1
GGGUGAAAUACAUACUCCGUGUUCUAAAAUUGUAAGACCAGGCGACAACCGUCUCUAUAUAGAGGGUGGCAGUUGGUUCAAGCUCUACCUUCCUUUCUCAGUUGGAUCUAUUUAAAGCCUGCAGCAGAGGAAACUUGGCAGCUGAAUGUUUCCAAAAGUUUUCUCUAAUAUAAAGAAAACAGUGGUUAUUUAUAAUCAUUACUGGAGGGUUUGACAAUCAGGAAAACAUUAGGUUCAGCUUCUCCGAAAUCGAUUUGAGAUUCACAGCAAGUCCUCAUUACACUGCACCACUAGCAUAAAUUAUUGUAUAUUUUAAUGCUCCAUAUCCCACAACAUCCAAGAGAUGUUGGUAUCAAUCCUACACUGAGUCAAGACACGCUUCGGCAUACAUGUCAUCACGUCCGUCUUUGCACAGGUGUCAUCACGUCCGUCUUUGCCUUCUCCCAACAUGUUUCUUGAACGAUAAUCAGGACACCACUCCCGAUGAUGAAGUACACUUCCAACAAAUGACUGCUCAUCAAGGUCUCAGCUGCAGUGUUUAAUCACGCAGCAGAAACCAUUUAUUUUCUCAUAUACUUCUCUUUCUUGAAAUAUCUCUUAAUUAUCUCAUUUACUCCUAUAUAAAAAUGGUGCUCAAAAAUUUAAUUACAAGGGCAAGAUCUUAA